rnacentral:lncRNA from 1 species
AUAAGCCCAAACCUUUUGCAUCCUUACCACAAUGUUGUUGCAUAGAAAGGUCAUUGGGUUGGACAUUUCUGUGCCUAUUAGCAAACAUUUGAUGUGUGCAAGUGCGUACGACCCGCAUGUAACACUGACUUUAUUUUUUGGAAGGUCCCUAUCCUUGUUUCGACCUUCAAAAUCCCAUGUUUGCUACAACACUUUUGUUGGUAAAUGAUUCAUCAGUCUACUUUGCCUCAAUAAGUUGGGGAACGAUAUCAGCAGUGGCUGCAUCUUGGUAAAAAAAUCUGCCUCAUUGAAGACAGACAAGUUGAAGUCAUAAACCC